rnacentral:rRNA from 1 species
GAUGAACGCUGGCGGCGUGCCUAAUACAUGCAAGUCGAGCGAACAGACGAGGAGCUUGCUCCUCUGACGUUAGCGGCGGACGGGUGAGUCACACGUGGAUAACCUACCUAUAAGACUGGGAUAACUUCGGGAAACCGGAGCUAAUACCGGAUAAUAUAUUGAACCGCAUGGUUCAAUAGUGAAAGACGGUUUUGCUGUUACUUAUAGAUGGAUCCGCGCCGCAUUAGCUAGUUGGUAAGGUAACGGCUUACCAAGGCGACGAUGCGUAGCCGACCUGAGAGGGUGAUCGGCCACACUGGAACUGAGACACGGUCCAGACUCCUACGGGAGGCAGCAGUAGGGAAUCUUCCGCAAUGGGCGAAAGCCUGACGGAGCAACGCCGCGUGAGUGAUGAAGGUCUUCGGAUCGUAAAACUCUGUUAUUAGGGAAGAACAAAUGUGUAAGUAACUAUGCACGUCUUGACGGUACCUAAUCAGAAAGCCACGGCUAACUACGUG